rnacentral:rRNA from 1 species
UACGUAGGGUGCAAGCGUUAAUCGGAAUUACUGGGCGUAAAGCGUGCGCAGGCGGUUAUGUAAGACAGUUGUGAAAUCCCCGGGCUCAACCUGGGAACUGCAUCUGUGACUGCAUAGCUAGAGUACGGUAGAGGGGGAUGGAAUUCCGCGUGUAGCAGUGAAAUGCGUAGAUAUGCGGAGGAACACCGAUGGCGAAGGCAAUCCCCUGGACCUGUACUGACGCUCAUGCAGGAAAGCGUGGGGAGCAAACAGG